AUGAUGGCCCUCGAGAAGAAUUGUACUUGGAGCUUGUCGAUCUUCCAAAGGGGAGAGCCCCAGUUGGAUGUAGAUGGGUCUACUUAAUCAAGUACAGAUCAAAUGGCACUAUUAAGAGAUAUAAGUCCAGGUUGUGGACCAAACGAUAUAGUCAAAUGUAUGAAAUUGACCAUCAAGAGACAUUUGCCCCUGUGGCUAAAAAUAAUUUGACAAGAGCCUUUUAUCAUUGGUUUCCAAUCGACAUUGGCCAUUGUGUCAGUUGAAUGUGAAGAAUGUAUUCCUCCAUGGUGACUUGUAAGAGGAAGUAUAUAUGCAAACCCCUCUAGGCUUCAAGUUUCCCUAGCUGAACGAAAGUUUGUCAUCGUAAGAAAGCUCUAUAUGGUCUUAAAUAGACCCAAAGGCUUCAUUUGAGAGGUUUAGACAAGCUAUUCUGAAUAAUGGAUACACCAAGAGACAGGCUGAUCAUACUCUAUUUACCUGGCAUGGUAAUGGUACCAUUACAAUACUAAUUGUCUUUGUGGAUGACAUUGUGGUUAUUGGAGAUGAUCAAGAAGAGAUAGUCUUAAAGUCUUACCUAGCUCAACAAUUUGAGAUUAAGGACCUUGGACCAUUGUAUUUUUUCUUGUGUAGUGUAGUGUCAAUCAUAGAAGGGAAUAAAUAUUUUUCAAAGGAAGUUUAUGUUGGAUUCGUUGAAAGAAAUAAGAUUAUUGGUCUAUAAACUAGAAAAACCACCUAUUGAUCAAAAUUACAAGUUAAGUGAAAGUUGUAAACUGGCCCUAACUGAUUCAAGGGAGUAUCAUAGGUUAGUGGAGAAGCCGAUAUAUCUUUAUCUGACUCGUCUUGAUAUCACUGAAGUUGUUGAGGUACUGAGUCGAUUAUGCAUGCUCCCAAGAGUGGGCAUUUGGAUGUUAUGUAUCACAUCCUCAGGUACUUGAGGUCUAGUCCAAGACAAAGGGCUAUUGCAUACCAGACACAACCAUUUGAGGAUUAAAGGCUACAUUGAUGCUGAUUGGGCAGGAUUUAUUUUCGAUAGAAGGUCUACAUUAGGAUACCGUACAUUUGUUGGUGGUAACCUGGUUACCUAGAGAAGUAAAAAAUAAACUAUUGUGGCUAAUCAAAUGCAGAGGCAAAAUUUAGAGGCAUGACUUAAAGAAUAUGCGAACUUCUUUGGUUGAAAAAGUUGGUCCGAGGAUUGGGAUUUGAUACUGAGAGAUCUAUGCAACUUUGUUUUGAUAACAAGGGUGCACAAUCUUGUGCAACAUGGUCAAACAAAGCACGUUGAGGUGGAUCAACAUGUCAUUAAAGAGAAAAUUAACUCUGGCUACAUCUGCACUCCUUUUGUGAAGACAUGAGACCAUUUGGCCUAUAUUUUCACCAAAAAGGGAUUAAAUCUCCUCAGCUUAGUACCCUAUUGAGCAAGUUGGGCAUGUAUGACAUCUAUUCUCGACUUUGAGGGGAAGUGUUGGAGUUCAUGUAAUAAGGGUAUUAAGGGGACUUUGUUAUAAGCUUGUAUUUUUACCUUGUAACCUCCCUAGUUGUUCUUAUGUUAGUAUGGGGGCUAUUGAUGUAAUUCUACAUUUCAUUCCAAAAAAGGCAUAUCCAGUGCACAAGGCUCCCGCCACUAGGGGUCUGGGGGAGGGGCAUAAUGUACUCAGCCUUACCCCUGCUUCACAGAGGGGUUGUUUCCCGACUCAAACCCCAACCACUAGGUUGCAAUGGAGCAACCUAACCAUUGUGCCAAGGCCCGCCUCAAUUCUGCAUGUCAUUUUCAAGUAGUAAGUAUAGGGGAGAGAAUCAAUUUCUCUCCCCAAGCAUUCCACCCUCACUUUCUCUUUUCUUCUUCUUCUCCUCAUCUUUCUCUUCUUUCAUCUUACUUCCCUUUGUUCACUUUUAUCACGUUGACCUCAUAGGAGGUCAUGUUAGCAUUUGGGUUUGCUGGUUUGUCUCUAGUACCAUGAUUGGGUGUUGUGUACACGCAUAAGAUGAAAUAAUAGUUUAUUUUAUUUUAUAUUAAUUUUGUGCAUCUUUACCUAUCAAGAUUAUAGUCUGACCAAGAGUGGUGAGCCUGUGGCGCAACGGUUAAGUUGCACGAUUGCAACAAGUUAGUCACAGGUUCAAAACUUGAAAACAGCCUCUCCUGUGAAAUAGGAGGUAAGGCUGCGGUAUGUGCCCCUCCCAGACCCUGCAGUGGCGGGGGCCUCGUGCACUGGGUUGCUCUCUCAUUAUAUUCUGACUAAUGAUAAUAAAAUAUGGCUAAAAUGAAUAAUGGAUAAUAGGUACUGUGUAGGAGGAAAUGGGAAGUAUGUAUUUUUCCGCGGUGGAGUUCGAAUUGGUCAACCUUGUCUAAUUCUACUUUUGGUCAGAGUAUGUAACUGGGAAGUCAGUAGAUACUAUAUUGAGUUUCUGUAGAAUGGUACUAUGGAAAAUAAGCUUCAGUUUUAAUAGGCCAUUCUCCUUUAUCUUUGUAAUCUGUUAAAUAAAUUGAAAUGAUGGUACUGUUGAAAUCAUCUUGUUCAAUUGAAUCAGCCUAAGAUAUGUUUGGUCCAUUGAUUGUGUGCAGUUGUUGGUAGUGAGAUUGCACUUUUGGAGUUAACAGUUAUCCAAAAAUGACCUUGCUUCCCCCCCCCCCAAAUCAUGCAGAGCUCUGCACUUGGAUUUUUACUUGCCCAAAAACACUUCACGGAUCCCCUUGUUGCUGUGCCUUCGGCUGUCAGUGUUGUUUGCAUGGCGCUUGGUGGGAGUGCUCUUGCAGUAUUUUGGAGGAACAGGCCAACUCCAGCAGACGAUAAGGACGAUUUCAAGGAAUAAACCUAGUCUUUUUGCCUUCUAUAUUAUUAUAUUCUCCUUAGACUUGGUGGUAAGUUCUUUUGAGAACUACUGCUUUUUCAACUUUUACCAACUUUAGUUUCAGGAGGAAGAACACUUUUAGUUUUUAUUUUUCUCAUGGAACAUGUAAUCUGAACUAGGAAUUAGGAAACAAGUUAUUCACUGGGACAGAAAAUAAAAAUAAAUAACAGUGGAAUAUUCUCUUAUUAUCA